rnacentral:lncRNA from 1 species
GAACUUGUUUAAACUAAGAUUUACUAAAUGGCAAAUUAGCAUCAAAGCUCAAUUCCAUAAAAGCACACAUGGGAGGGGAAAAUUCUGCAGGUGAUUUACUAACAAUGUGCAUAUUAAAGAAUACAGAUGCAACAUCUCAUUUCCAUAAUGACCAGCACAAUCUACCAAGAGCAGCGCAAAUUACAGUACCUCCUGCUUUAAGACAUGUUUUUUUUUAGGCGUUAAAUAAUGCCACAAAUACCAGUAAAUUGAAAAACGCAAAUCUAUGCCUUUUCAGUGCUAAUUUCCCACUGUGUGAUUUUAGUAAAUCCUGACAGUAGUUUUUAAACGCCAAAUGAGGGUUUGCGCAGGCACAGGCUGAUAGUAAAUCUGGCCCUAAGACAUUUCUCCACUCAUCAGUUGGUGCAUUCCCUUAUUCCCAUGUGUAUGGAUGAAACAGAAGGCCACAGCCACAGUGGAGGAGAAUAAGUCUCUGAAGAGCAAGCUGCAAGUAGCAGAGGCUGUUCAGAGACAGACUAACAGUGCCGAGCAAGACUAUGAGGAGGUCAUUCAGCUCCUGGAGGCUGAAAUCAAAGAUCUGAAGAACCAACUCGCUGGAAAGAAACAGAGAGACCUGGAGGCUACCAAAGGAGGAUGUGAUGGAGCUGAACAGGAGGCUCAGCAUCAUUGACAGCCAGUUAAGAAGGUCUGAACUCACUCGGAAACAUCUGGAGAUAUCCAACAAGAAGCUGCUCGGCUUUGCACAGAAUGUCCACAAAGUUCUCACUAAUUCCAGCUUAUUUGGGAUUGAAAGUGGGUGCGCACAAGCGUCUCCAGUGACCGACAGCCCCGACACACCCUCCCCGAUCCCAGACCCCGCCUGCCAGCUCGCAGCUGAGGCCAAAGUGCUUGUAGAUGGUGUCUGCUCACUUUGCACUGAGGAUCACACAUUAGUGCAGUAUGUAGAGGGAGACGUGAAGGCUGAAGAGGACUGUGAUUCAGACCUCGUUCAGUGGCCACAGCCUCCUGUCCUCGGGGCUCCUGCAGUAGAGCGGAGAGGUCAGUAGAGCAUCUGGGAUGGACAGACAAACCGGGCUCAUCAAGGUCAAACUGCACCUAUACUGUGGAAAAUAAGAGACUGUGAAGAUUUGCAGUGUGGUUUGUACUCUUUCAAGCGGUUAUCAGACGCCUGAGCUCUACUGAUCAAAGUCAUACUCAUUUUUUAAAGCAGUCCGUGUACAUAUUAAACAUGUAGCAGUACUGAGUGUCAUUACAUAAAGGCAGAAACCAACCAAGGGAAUUACAAUCUGAAACACAGACAUCAGUUAACAGCAGAGGCGACUUUGAGAUGCUCAAAAGUGAUUUCAGCCGUGUCUUAUAACACUUAUAGCAGAUGAAGCAGUUACCACACACAGUUAAGAAGAUGAUCUCAUUCAGCCGGUAUAUU